rnacentral:rRNA from 1 species
UCAAACACAUGUCUUUUUGGUUAUUUAAUAUAAUGUCUAGCCUGCCCACUGAAUUUAAUUUUGAAGGGCCGCAGUAUUUUGACUGUGCAAAGGUAGCAUAAUCAUUAGUCUUUUAAUUGGAGGCUGGUAUGAAUGGUUGGAUGAGGUACAAGCUGUGUCAUAAAAAUUAAUAUUUGAAUUUAACUUUUUAGUCAAAAGGCUAAAAUUAAAUUAAAAGACGAGAAGACCCUAUAGAGCUUUAUAUAAUAAUUAUUUAAUUUAUUAAGAUUUAUUAAAUUUAAUUAUUUGAUUAUAUUUUGUUGGGGUGACAGUAAAAUUAAAAAAACUUUUAUUAUUAAUUUACAUUUAUUUAUGGUUAAAUGAUCCAGUUUUAUUGAUUAUAAAUUUAAGUUACCUUAGGGAUAACAGCGUAAUUUUUUUUGAGAGUUCUUAUCGACAAAAAAGAUUGCGACCUCGAUGUUGGAUUAAGAGUAAUUUUGGGUGUAG